ACAGAUAGUCAGAUUGUGCCUGCGCUCUGUUGUCAUCUUAGGUAUACCAACAAUUUUGUUUGAGGGCGAGUAACACGUGGGCAACCUGCAUGUAAAACUGGGAUAACUUCGGGAAACCGAAGCUAAUACCGGAUAGGAUCUUCUCCUUCAUGGGAGAUGAUUGAAAGAUGGUUUCGGCUAUCACUUACAGAUGGGCCCGCGGUGCAUUAGCUAGUUGGUGAGGUAACGGCUCACCAAGGCAACGAUGCAUAGCCGACCUGAGAGGGUGAUCGGCCACACUGGGACUGAGACACGGCCCAGACUCCUACGGGAGGCAGCAGUAGGGAAUCUUCCGCAAUGGACGAAAGUCUGACGGAGCAACGCCGCGUGAGUGAUGAAGGCUUUCGGGUCGUAAAACUCUGUUGUUAGGGAAGAACAAGUACGAGAGUAACUGCUCGUACCUUGACGGUACCUAACCAGAAAGCCACGGCUAACUACGUGCCAGCAGCCGCGGUAAUACGUAGGUGGCAAGCGUUAUCCGGAAUUAUUGGGCGUAAAGCGCGCGCAGGCGGUUUCUUAAGUCUGAUGUGAAAGCCCACGGCUCAACCGUGGAGGGUCAUUGGAAACUGGGGAACUUGAGUGCAAAAGAGAAAAGCGGAAUUCCACGUGUAGCGGUGAAAUGCGUAGAGAUGUGGAGGAACACCAGUGGCGAAGGCGGCUUUUUGGUCUGUAACUCACGCUGAGGCGCGAAAGCGUGGGGAGCAAACAUGGACUAGAUACCCUGGUAGUCCACGCCGUAAACGAUGAGUGCUAAGUGUUAGUUGCGUUUUCUGCUCCUUUAGUGCUGCAGCUACACGCAUUACAGCACGUCCGCCCUGGGGAGUACGGUCGCAAGACUGAAAUCUCAAAGGAAUUGACGGGCGGCCCGCACAUGCGGUGGAA
rnacentral:rRNA from 2 species